GACGAACGCUGGCGGCGUGCUUAACACAUGCAAGUCGACAUGAGUGGCGAACGGGUGAGUAAUACGUGGGUAACCUGACCUCAUUUUGGGGAUAAGCCUUGGAAACGGGAUCUAAUACUAACGAAAGGGGGAUGGGCUCGCGGCCUAUCAGCUUGUUGUAGGGGGGGUGGCCUACCAAGGCUGUGACGGGUAGUCGGCCUGAGAGGGUAAACGGCAAAAUUGGGACUGUGAAAAGGCCCAGAGUCGUACGGGAUGAAGCAGUUGGGAAUAUUGCACAAUGGGCGAAAGCCUGAUGCAGCGACGCCGCGUGGGGGAUGAGGGCUUUCGAGUUGUAAACCUCUGUCGCUAUCGAUUGGGUAGGUGGAGAAGAAGCGCCGGCUAACUACGUGCCAGCAGCCGCGGUAAUAC
rnacentral:rRNA from 1 species